AAAUGCGAUAAGUAAUGUGAAUUGCAGAAUUCAGUGAAUCAUCGAAUCUUUGAACGCACCUUGCGCUCCUUGGUAUUCCUUGGAGCAUGCCUGUUUGAGUAUCAUGAAAUCUUCAAAGUAAAUCUUUUGUUAACUCAAUUGGUUUCUACUUUGGUAUUGGAGGUCUUUGCAGCUUCACACCUGCUCCUCUUUGUUCAUUAGCUGGAUCUCAUUGUUAUGCUUGGUUCCACUCGGCGUGAUAAGUUAUCUAUCGCUGAGGACACUGUAAAAGGUGGCCAAGGUAAAUGCAGAUGAACCGCUUCUAAUAGUCCAUUGACUUGGACAAUACUUUUAUGAUCUGAUCUCAAAUCAGGUAGGACUACCCGCUGAACUUAAGC
rnacentral:misc_RNA from 1 species